AACAAAAUUUUCACCAAAAUUCUUUUCCCUCCCCUGUAACCCUAGCCGCAUCUUUGCUUAUAAUGUUGUAACUAAACCCACACACAUAACUUCAUUCCCAUUCACCACCAAAAGAUAAUCAAACAAGAAGAUAAUUUUCUUUCACCAAAAUCAAAAUCGAAAACCCAAAACUUUUUGUUUUUAAUCUACCGUAAUCGAAAUCCAUCUCCGAAUCUGAGUGAUUUUUGUUCGACAAAAAAAAUCAUCAUCAAUAACAACGAUGGCCACACAUUUCUUCCCAUUAAAAAACCCAUUUAAGAGUUUGAUUUCCCAGUCAAUUUUUAACCCGAUUUGGAAUAUGACUUCAGAUGGAUGCUUAGUAUGUUGUAAUCUGAAACCCAUGAAAUGUUUUGGUAUUCAAUCAUUUACAAUUUUUCUAUCUAGUGGAGGAAAUUAGAGUUCAUCCGAUUGUAACUGCAGAAAUCCAUUAAUCUGUUAGGCCUGAGUUUUGGUUCGUUUGAAGGAUUUGGACGUUUGGGCAUCCAUCGGCAACUGAAAUAAUCAUCAGUUCGGGAAAGAGGAUUACCUACCAGGUGAUAUGGCUUUGCUUAGUGUCCACUGGACAGGAGUAACUCUAACAUUAGAAUUUUCUGCUGUUGGUAUGUGAGUUGUAACUGGAAUAAGGGUGUUCUGCUAAAGCAAGCUUUUGUCUUCAUGACGAAAUUGGUGUUGGUGUUGUGUAGGACUUAUGGAAUUCACUGAAGUGGUGAAGUACCUCAAGCAUUCAGGGAAGUUUGCACGCCAUGGCGGAAAGCUGCUCAAGCCUUGAGGCGCAGGUUUUGGUUUAUUUGAAGAAUUUGGAUGCUUGGGUAUCCAUCAGCAGCUGAAAUUAAUCACCAGUUUGGGUUGAGUAUUUGAGGACUUAGGGUUGUGCUUUACACAUUUUAUCUGAGAUGAUUGCACUCGAAAUUAAUCUGUGGUUGAAUAAGCAUUGCACGAAUUGGUUAUCCUUCCGCUCUGAAGACCUGAAUUAUUUGCUGGGAAGCUCCUCAGUCCACAGAAAGGUGUAUUGUUAUAUAGUCCACCAGGAACUGGCAAGACUAUAUAUGCUUGCCAAGGCAAUAGCAAAGGAGUCCGGAGCAGUAAAAACGUUAGUGUCUCAAGCUUGAAGAGCAAGUGGUUUGGAGAUGCUCAAAAGCUUGUUGCUGCCGUGUUCACUUUAGCUCAUAAGCUUCAACCAACUAUUAUCUUUAUUGAUGAGGUUGAUAGCUUUUUGGGCAGCACCAUGCAACUGACCACGAAGCUUUGACAAAAUCCAGUCUGUAUCUCGGCCUGAAGAGUUCCCAACAAAAGAGAUACAGAUACAACAGCUACCGGUCCAAUGUGGGAACAAAACUGGAGUCUGCAACGACAAGAAAGAAACAAGAUAAGAUUAUCAUGCAAUUAAGACGCUGUUAUCACACAAUUUAUAGUUACUGGCAAGUACUGAUAUGUUUGUGAUGGAAAUUGCAGUUGAUAAAGUUGCAAUUGAUAGGGAAGAAUUUGGGUUUUACUUUUUAAAUUGUUGAAUUUGACUUUGAGUGUUAUGGGUUGCUGGGUUUGUAAAAGAGCGGUUUAUGAUACAAUCCUACAUCAAUUCACAUAUAUUUGUCUUAAUGUUGUCAAAUUUUGUUCGUGACAUUUGAUCAAUACCCGACUCUAGCUGCACUAAGCACUAGAUUGUUCCCAGAACUGUAUCACAUUUGUGGAAACUUUAGUUUGAUUUAACCGAAUAUGGGAAUUGAAUA